GAUGAACGCUGGCGGCGUGCCUAAUACAUGCAAGUCGAGCGAACGGACGAGAAGCUUGCUUCUCUGAUGUUAGCGGCGGUCGGGUGAGUAACACGUGGAUAACCUACCUAUAAGACUGGGAUAACUUCGGGAAACCGUAGCUAAUACCGGAUAAUAUUUUGAACCGCAUGGUUCAAAAGUGAAAGACGGUCUUGCUGUCACUUAUAGAUGGAUCCGCGCUGCAUUAGCUAGUUGGUAAGGUAACGGCUUACCAAGGCAACGAUGCAUAGCCGACCUGAGAGGGUGAUCGGCCACACUGGAACUGAGACACGGUCCAGACUCCUACGGGAGGCAGCAGUAGGGAAUCUUCCGCAAUGGGCGAAAGCCUGACGGAGCAACGCCGCGUGAGUGAUGAAGGUCUUCGGAUCGUAAAACUCUGUUAUUAGGGAAGAACAUAUGUGUAAGUAACUGUGCACAUCUUGACUGUACCUAAUCAGAAAGCCACGGCUAACUACGUG
rnacentral:rRNA from 1 species